rnacentral:rRNA from 2 species
UUUAAAGAGAGUUUGAUCCUGGCUCAGGACGAACGCUGGCGGCGUGCCUAAUACAUGCAAGUCGAACGAACGGAGGAAGAGCUUGCUCUUCCAAAGUUAGUGGCGGACGGGUGAGUAACACGUGGGCAACCUGCCUGUAAGUUGGGGAUAACUCCGGGAAACCGGGGCUAAUACCGAAUGAUAAAGUGUGGCGCAUGCCACGCUUUUGAAAGAUGGUUUCGGCUAUCGCUUACAGAUGGGCCCGCGGUGCAUUAGCUAGUUGGUAGGGUAAUGGCCUACCAAGGCAACGAUGCAUAGCCGACCUGAGAGGGUGAUCGGCCACACUGGGACUGAGACACGGCCCAGACUCCUACGGGAGGCAGCAGUAGGGAAUCUUCCGCAAUGGACGAAAGUCUGACGGAGCAACGCCGCGUGUAUGAAGAAGGUUUUCGGAUCGUAAAGUACUGUUGUUAGAGAAGAACAAGGAUAAGAGUAACUGCUUGUCCCUUGACGGUAUCUAACCAGAAAGCCACGGCUAACUACGUGCCAGCAGCCGCGGUAAUACGUAGGUGGCAAGCGUUGUCCGGAUUUAUUGGGCGUAAAGCGCGCGCAGGCGGUCUUUUAAGUCUGAUGUGAAAGCCCCCGGCUUAACCGGGGAGGGUCAUUGGAAACUGGAAGACUGGAGUGCAGAAGAGGAGAGUGGAAUUCCACGUGUAGCGGUGAAAUGCGUAGAUAUGUGGAGGAACACCAGUGGCGAAGGCG